UACGAAGGGUGCAAGCGUUACUCGGAAUUACUGGGCGUAAAGCGUGCGUAGGCGGUUUGUUAAGUCCGUUGUGAAAGCCCUGGGCUCAACCUGGGAAUUGCAGUGGAUACUGGCGAGCUAGAGUGCGGUAGAGGAUGGUGGAAUUCCCGGUGUAGCGGUGAAAUGCGUAGAGAUCGGGAGGAACACCCGUGGCGAAGGCGGCCAUCUGGACCAGCACUGACGCUGAGGCACGAAAGCGUGGGGAGCAAACGGG
rnacentral:rRNA from 1 species